UAAGUCUUUUCAUCCAUACAU
rnacentral:snRNA from 1 species